GAUCAUUGUUGAAACCUACACAGCAGAAUGACCCGUGAAC
rnacentral:rRNA from 1 species